AGCGAACGCUGGCGGCAGGCUUAACACAUGCAAGUCGAGCGCCCCGCCAGUGUAGCGGCAGCCGGGAGAGUAUCACGUGGGAACAUACCUUUUGGUUCUGAACAACUGAGGGAUACUUCAGCUAAUACCGGAUAAGCCCUUACGGGGAAAGAUUUAUCGCCGAAAGUUUGGCCCGCGUCUGAUUAGCUAGUUGGUGAGGUAACGGCUCACCAAGUCGACGAUCAGUAGCUGGUCUGAGAGGAUGAUCAGCCUCACUGGUACUGAGACACGGCCCAGAAGACUACGGGAGGGAGAAGUGGGGAAUAAUGGAAAAUGGGGGCAACACUGAUACAGCCAUGACGGGUGAGUGAUGAAGGCCUUAGGGUUGUAAAGCACUUUUGACCGGGAAGAUAAUGACGGUAACGGGAGAAUAAGCCCCGGCUAACUUCGUG
rnacentral:rRNA from 1 species